GGAUAAACGCUGGCGGCAUGCCUAAUACAUGCAAGUCGAACGGGGGUGCUUGCACCCCAGUGGCGAACGGGUGAGUAACACGUAUCUAACCUACCUCAUAGCGGGGGAUAACUUUUGGAAACGAAAGAUAAUACCGCAUGUGAAUCUUAUUAUCGCAUGAGAAAAGAUUGAAAGGACCGUUUGGUUCACUAUGAGAUGGGGAUGCGGCGUAUUAGCUAGUAGGUGAKGUAAUGGCUCACCUAGGCGAUGAUACGUAGCCGAACUGAGAGGUUGAUCGGCCACAUUGGGACUGAGAUACGGCCCAGACUCCUACGGGAGGCAGCAGUAGGGAAUUUUUCACAAUGGACGAAAGUCUGAUGAAGCAAUGCCGCGUGAGUGAUGACGGCCUUCGGGUUGUAAAGCUCUGUUGUAAGGGAAGAAAAAAUAGAGUAGGAAAUGCCUCUAUAUUGACGGUACCUUACCAGAAAGCCACGGCUAACUAUGUGCCAGCAGCCGCGGUAAUACAUAGGUGGCAAGCGUUAUCCGGAUUUAUUGGGCGUAUAGGGUGCGUAGGCGGUUUUGCAAGUUUGAGGUUAAAGCCCGGAGCUCAACUCCGGUUCGCCUUGAAAACUGCAUUACUAGAAUGCAAGAGAGGUAAGCGGAAUUCCAUGUGUAGCGGUGAAAUGCGUAGAUAUAUGGAAGAACACCUGUGGCGAAAGCGGCUUACUGGCUUGUUAUUGACGCUGAGGCACGAAAGCGUGGGGAGCAAAUAGGAUUAGAUACCCUAGUAGUCCACGCCGUAAACGAUGAGUACUAGGUGUUGGGGUCAUCUCAGCGCCGCAGCUAACGCAUUAAGUACUCCGCCUGAGUAGUAUGCUCGCAAGAGUGAAACUCAAAGGAAUUGACGGGGACCCGCACAAGUGGUGGAGCAUGUGGUUUAAUUCGAAGCAACACGAAGAACCUUACCAGGGCUUGACAUCCAGUGCAAAGCUAUAGAGAUAUAGUGGAGGUUAACAUUGAGACAGGUGGUGCAUGGUUGUCGUCAGUUCGUGCCGUGAGGUGUUGGGUUAAGUCCCGCAACGAACGCAACCCUUGUCGUUAGUUACUAACAUUAAGUUGAGGACUCUAACGAGACUGCUAGUGUAAGCUAGAGGAAGGUGGGGAUGACGUCAAAUCAUCAUGCCCCUUAUGUCCUGGGCUACACACGUGCUACAAUGGCUGGUACAAAGAGUCGCAAUCUCGCGAGGGGGAGCUAAUCUCAAAAAGCCAGUCUCAGUUCGGAUUGAAGUCUGCAACUCGACUUCAUGAAGCCGGAAUCACUAGUAAUCGCGAAUCAGCUAUGUCGCGGUGAAUACGUUCUCGGGUCUUGUACACACCGCCCGUCACACCACGAGAGUUGGUAAUACCAGAAGUGGGUAGCUUAACCGCAAGGAGAGCGCCUCCCAAGGUAGGACUGGCGAUUGGGGUGAAGUCGUAACAAGGUAUCCGUACGGGAACGUGCGGAUGGAUCACCUCCUUUCUAUGGAGAUAAAACAUUUAUUAUUGACUAUUUUAGUUCUAUUUAGUUUUCAGGGAUUGUAUAAAUCUCUGAAAAUGAUUGUUCUUUGAAAACUGAAUAUUAGAUGAAAUGCAAUUUUCUGAUUAUAACAACAUAUAAUUAGAUAAUUAUUACGAAAUUAUUCGUAAUGACAUCAAAACAAUUAACUAAAAUUAAUUGAGUUACAAAUUGCUAGAAAGAUUUUCUAAAAAAAUAGUAAGGGCAUAUGGUGAAUGCCUUGGAAAAUGGAGCCGAAGAAGGACGUGAUUACCUGCGAAAAGUCUGGGGGAGCUGGAAGUAAGCUGCGAUCCCGGAAUGUCCGAAUGGGGAAACCUAACAUGAUUUAUCUCAUGUUAUCUAUAAGUGAAUACAUAGCUUAUAAGAAGGGAACCUAGGGAACUGAAACAUCUUAGUACCUAGAGGAAAAGAAAAUAAUAAUGAUUCUGUUAGUAGUGGCGAGCGAACGCGGAACAGGCCAAACCRYUCUACGGRGYGGGGUUGUAGGACUUUUGUUAGAGUUACAAAGUUAUUGUAUAGUAGAAGCUAUUGGGAAGUAGCGGCAUAGAGGGUGAUACCCCCGUAUACGAAAUGCAAURACCUCGAGAAAGUAUCCUGAGUACGGCGAAACACGUGAAAUUUUGUCGGAAUCUGCCAAGACCACUUGGUAAGCCUAAAUACUACCAUUUUACCGAUAGUGAACCAGUACCGUGAGGG
rnacentral:rRNA from 1 species